rnacentral:lncRNA from 1 species
GGGAAAUAUCUCCUACAAUUUUGGAUUUUUCUGACAUUAUUGUAUCUGUUUUUAACAUUUUAUCAAAUUAUUGCUUUUUUCUUAAAUAGGAAAGCUUAAGACCAAUCUAAUAGAGCUCCUUAAGAGAUGAAUUCUUCCUACUAAACACGCAUGUUCUAGAUGACUAGUUAGACUAAUACGAGGAGUCAUUAAGAAAAAGGCUUUAACACUGCUGUCUCUAUCUGCUUCCCUUGCAUUUUUUUCUUUGAAAACUAUAUUAUUUCUAUUUUCAAAACCUCCCAUGAGUUCUGAACCCAACAUCUUUUAGCACCAUAGUCUUGUGCAAUAUAUAUUUAUCAGGCUCCUAAAGUAAGCCUCUUCUUGAUGAGACCAAAACUGCAAAAACUAAAUAAAUAAGUCAGUAUUCAUAUUUUACUCACAAUUUACACCCAUGCUUGCUAGCAUUUUGAGUGCUUUGAUUUUCUGUUUUUCUUAAAAGACAGGCAAAAGAUAGAUAAUUUAAUCUAAGUAUUCUGAUUAUCAAUAUUAUUAUUUUAUGUGAGGAUAAAUGAAUGGUGACUUUUUUUUCUGUUUGUGUAUGUGGGUAUAUGUUUGCUUUUGUUUUGGUCCUUACAACCCAAAUAUAAAAUAACAUAGU